CGCCUGGGGAGUACGGCCGCAAGGUUAAAACUCAAAUGAAUUGACGGGGGCCCGCACAAGCGGUGGAGCAUGUGGUUUAAUUCGAUGCAACGCGAAGAACCUUACCUGGUCUUGACAUCCACGGAAGUUUUCAGAGAUGAGAAUGUGCCUUCGGGAACCGUGAGACAGGUGCUGCAUGGCUGUCGUCAGCUCGUGUUGUGAAAUGUUGGGUUAAGUCCCGCAACGAGCGCAACCCUUAUCCUUUGUUGCCAGCGGUCCGGCCGGGAACUC
rnacentral:rRNA from 2 species